rnacentral:misc_RNA from 1 species
CAACCCUCAAGCUUUUGCUUGGUAUUGGGCUUCAUCCUGCUUUUAAAAAAGGAUGUGCCUAAAACUCAUAGGCGGUUGCAUUUAGCUCCCUUGCGUAGUUAUUAUUUUUUCUCGCUUUGGAAGUCUAGGCACAACCCGCCUGAGAACACCCCCCCAUAUUUUCUCAAG